ACCGGCAAACGGGUGCGGAACACGUACAGAACCUUCCUUCGAGCGGGGAAUAGCCCAGAGAAAUUUGGAUUAAUACCCCAUAGUAUAAUGAAGAGGCAUCUCUUUGUUAUUAAAGAUUUAUCACUUGAAGAUGGCUGCGCGGCUGAUUAGGUAGUUGGCGGGGUAACGGCCCACCAAGCCUGCGAUCAGUAACUGGUGUGAGAGCACGACCAGUCACACGGGCACUGAGACACGGGCCCGACUCCUACGGGAGGCAGCAGUAAGGAAUAUUGGUCAAUGGACGAAAGUCUGAACCAGCCAUGCCGCGUGGAGGAUGAAGGUCCUCUGGAUUGUAAACUUCUUUUAUAUGGGACGAAAAAGGGUCUUUCUAGAUCAACUGACGGUACCAUAUGAAUAAGCACCGGCUAACUCCGUGCCAGCAGCCGCGGUAAUACGGAGGGUGCAAGCGUUAUCCGGAUUCACUGGGUUUAAAG
rnacentral:rRNA from 1 species